GACGAACGCUGGCGGCGUGCUUAACACAUGCAAGUCGAACGGAAAGGCCCUGCUUUUGUGGGGUGCUCGAGUGGCGAACGGGUGAGUAACACGUGAGUAACCUGCCCUUGACUUUGGGAUAACUUCAGGAAACUGGGGCUAAUACCGGAUAGGAGCUCCUGCUGCAUGGUGGGGGUUGGAAAGUUUCGGCGGUUGGGGAUGGACUCGCGGCUUAUCAGCUUGUUGGUGGGGUAGUGGCUUACCAAGGCUUUGACGGGUAGCCGGCCUGGGAGGGUGACCGGGCUACGGUGGGCGGGGAAUGCGGCCCGGACCCGACGGGGAGGGGCGGGAGGGGAUGGUUGCACAGUGGGCGGAGUCCGAGUCCGGCACCGCCGCGGGGGGGGGGGGGACAGUGGGUUGGGAACCCCAUUCCGCCGGAGCAGGAGCGAGAGUGACGUUAAUGAGAAAAGAAGCACCGGCCAACUACGUG
rnacentral:rRNA from 1 species